GAUGAACGCUGGCGGCGUGCCUAAUACAUGCAAGUCGAGCGAACGGACGAGAAGCUUGCUUCUCUGAUGUUAGCGGCGGACGGGUGAGUAACACGUGGAUAACCUACCUAUAAGACUGGGAUAACUUCGGGAAACCGGAGCUAAUACCGGAUAAUAUUUUGAACCGCAUGGUUCAAAAGUGAAAGACGGUCUUGCUGUCACUUAUAGAUGGAUCCGCGCUGCAUUAGCUAGUUGGUAAGGUAACGGCUUACCAAGGCAACGAUGCAUAGCCGACCUGAGAGGGUGGUCGGCCAACAUGGAACUGGAACACGGUCCAGGCUCCCACGGGGGGGAGGAGUAGGGAAUCUUCCCAAAUGGGGGAAAGCCUGACGGGGCAACGCCGGGGGAGUUAAGAAGGUCUUCGGAUUGUAAAACUCUUUUAUUAGGGAAAAAAAUAUGGGUAAGGAACUGGGCAACUCUUGACGGUACCUAAUCAAAAAGCCCCGGCUAACCACG
rnacentral:rRNA from 1 species